rnacentral:rRNA from 1 species
GUGGGGAAUAUUGGGCAAUGGGCGAAAGCCUGACCCAGCAACGCCGCGUGAAGGAAGAAGGUUUUCGGAUCGUAAACUUCUAUCCUUGGUGAAGAUAAUGACGGUAGCCAAGAAGGAAGCCCCGGCUAACUACGUGCCAGCAGCCGCGGUAAUACGUAGGGGGCAAGCGUUGUCCGGAAUGAUUGGGCGUAAAGGGCGCGUAGGCGGCCCGGUAAGUCUGAAGUGAAAGUCCUGCUUUUAAGGUGGGAAUUGCUUUGGAUACUGUCGGGCUUGAGUGCAGGAGAGGUAAGCGGAAUUCCCGGUGUAGCGGUGAAAUGCGGAGAGAUCGGGAGGAACACCAGUGGCGAAGGCGGCUUACUGGACUGUAACUGACGCUGAGGCGCGAAAGUGUGGGGAGCAAACAGGAUUAGACACCCCUGUAGUCC